GGAGAACACCAUGUGAAGAAGGCAGAGAUCUACAAGCCAACGAAUGUCAAAGACUGCCAGCAAACCACCCAAAGCUGGGAGAGAGGCAUGAAACAAAUUCUCUCGGCCGCCCUCGGAAGGAACCAACCCUACCAACACAGUUGUUCUCAGACAGCUGACCUCCAGAACAGUGAGACAACACAUCUCUGUUGUUCACGCCCAUCCCCACUCCCAGUGCUCAGUGCUUUGUUCCAACAGCCCCGGUGGACUAGUACUUUGCUUCACAAAACUUCCCUAGAAGGCUGACCAGCUGGUACUUCCAGAUACAGCCCAGGCGGGGAGGACUCUCGGGCCCCGUGGAGAUUCUGGACGGAACUUCCUGAUCACAAAAGAUGUUCUGGCCACAAGACAGUACCCAACCACCUGCCACAAAUCAGCUUCCUCCAAGCAAGUGACAGAACUUAAUGUUCCAGAAGCAAGUGAGAAUAAGGUCGAAGGGUGGAGCAUGAACAUCUCACAACAGAAUAACCUCUCUUCAAAAUCCAAGCCAACAAGAACACAAACCACUUUCUUGGGAUGCCUCAUGUCAACCCUGUGAAUUACUUUAUAGUUCACGUUAAUUUUUCGAUAAUCUCUUUUAGGAGGAAACAGGCCAGUUAUAUUAGACUGGACCACACAACACUGUCGCUGUUUCACCAUCAUUUUGCCUACAAAACUGGUCAUUUCACACAAGUCAACCUAAUAAUAAUUGUAGCAAUGUGUAGUAUUCUCAAAA